rnacentral:rRNA from 1 species
UACGGGAGGCAGCAGUGGGGAAUAUUGCGCAAUGGACGAAAGUCUGACGCAGCAACGCCGCGUGAGUGAUGAAGGUCUUCGGAUCGUAAAGCUCUGUCGGCAGGAACGAUGUUUUUGAGAGCUAAUAUCUCUCAGAAUUGACGGUACCUGCAAAGGAAGCACCGGCUAACUCUGUGCCAGCAGCCGCGGUAAUACAGAGGGUGCAAGCGUUGUUCGGAAUCAUUGGGCGUAAAGGGCGCGUAGGCGGUUGAUUAAGUUGAAUGUGAAAGCCCGGGGCUCAACCUCGGAAGUGCAUUCAAACUAGUCAACUAGAGUUCCGCAGAGGAUGGUAGAAAUUCCCAGUGUAGAGGUGAAAUUCGUAGAUAUUGGGAGGAAUACCAGUGGGCGAAGGCGACCAUCUGGACGGAUACUGACGCUGAGGCGCGAAAGCGUGGGUAGCAAACAGGAUUAGAUACC